GCCUUCAUAACCUGAUGAUUUCCAUUGUGGAGGAUGUAGGAUUUAAGGGAGUAUGAGCUGUGAAAUAAAGGAAACAAUAGCAAGAAUCAUGUCCUCCUUCCCCAUGUGAACUGUUGGUAAGAGCCCACCUUUCUUCGCUUUGUUAGGAAUCAGACUCACAUGGAGAGGGUAUGUAUCCCUUUUUGCCUCUCUCUCAAUGCAUAGA
rnacentral:misc_RNA from 1 species